rnacentral:rRNA from 1 species
GAGUUUGAUCGUGGCUCAGAUUGAACGCUGGCGGCAUGCCUUACACAUGCAAGUCGAACGGCAGCAUGAUCUAGCUUGCUAGAUUGAUGGCGAGUGGCGAACGGGUGAGUAAUACAUCGGAACGUGCCCUGUAGUGGGGAUAACUAGUCGAAGAUUAGCUAAUACCGCAUACGACCUGAGGGUGAAAGUGGGGGACCGCAAGGCCUCAUGCUAUAGGAGCGGCCGAUGUCUGAUUAGCUAGUUGGUGGGGUAAAGGCCCACCAAGGCGACGAUCAGUAGCUGGUCUGAGAGGACGAUCAGCCACACUGGGACUGAGACACGGCCCAGACUCCUACGGGAGGCAGCAGUGGGGAAUUUUGGACAAUGGGCGAAAGCCUGAUCCAGCAAUGCCGCGUGUGUGAAGAAGGCCU